CCCGCACAAGCGGUGGAGCAUGUGGUUUAAUUCGAUGAUACGCGAGAAACCUUACCAGGGCUUGACAUACACCAGAUCGGCGCAGAGAUGCGUUUUCCCUUUGUGGUUGGUGUACAGGUGGUGCAUGGUUGUCGUCAGCUCGUGUCGUGAGAUGUUGGGUUAAGUCCCGCAACGAGCGCAACCCUUGUCUUAUGUUGCCAGCACGUGAUGGUGGGGACUCAUGAGAGACUGCCGGGGUUAACUCGGAGGAAGGUGGGGAUGACGUCAAAUCAUCAUGCCCCUUAUGUCCAGGGCUUCACACAUGCUACAAUGGUCGGUACAACGCGUGUGCGACACUGUGAGGUGAAGCUAAUCGCUCUAAAGCCGGUCGUAGUUCGGAUUGGGGUCUGCAACUCGACCCCAUGAAGUCGGAGUCGCUAGUAAUCGCAGAUCAGCAACGCUGCGGUGAAUACGUUCCCGGGCCUU
rnacentral:rRNA from 1 species